UCUUGUGUUGAAUUUCUGGAAUCUUGACUAUUAUAUGCCCAGAUGUAGAUUUUUCUGUUCAUAGCUAAUUAGAAUUCUAUACUGCCUCACUAAUUUGUAUGUCAAAUUCUUUAUCCCUGCUUGCAAAUUUUCUGUCAUGACGUUUGUGAACAGCUUCUUAAUGUCACUUGUGAUAUCUCCCGCUUGUUCAUUGACUCUAAUUAAUCUUAAGUUAGUCUGCUUUAUCUCAUCUGUCAGGUGCUGAAUUGAUUUCUCAUGGUCCCUUGUUAUUUUUGAGAAAUCUUUCUUUUCAAGAUCACUAACUGCAAACCUGUCUUCAAUAUCUGAGAUCCUGUCCUCACAUUGGCCUAAUCUGCUUCAAAUGGUUUCAAUGGGAUUUUUAUCCUUCUGAAAAUCUUGAAUCUGCUUUAUGGAUUCCAUUUCUUUCUAUAUUGAGCUUCCAUAAUUUUCUUGAGCUCGUCUAUUUUUUUUUUAUCUGUAUCUGCUCUAAUGUCACUAAGCGUUGUCUUUAUUUGGGACACCAUCUCUGUAGUUAUUUGAGAGAUGAUUUCUGAUUUCAUUUUUUCCCAGAGCUUCAUUCUGUUGCUUUGGUGUUACCACUUCAGAGAGACCUGGUGGUGGUGGGGCUUUCAGACUGUCCCACCUCAUUGGCCCCUGGGUUUGUGUUGUAGUUAGGGGUUGUACACAGAAAACAAUCAGAAUCAGGACAUGGAGUUUAUAAUACUAUUUUUAUAAUGGUCACCUGGAGUCAACACAUUAAUGUCUUAAUGCCUCCCUUCUCCCUCUUCUUGUUCCCCACCUAUCUAUGCUGGCAACUUUCCUCAGGUGGAGCGUCUUCGCUCAGUGCCAUGCUGAUGUAAUUAUAGCUGGCGUUAAGUUGACCACCAGUUCUUAAUCCGUAACAGUUUGUCUUUGGCAUUUUGUUUAAUUGUCUUCUCAUUUUCCUUUCUUUUCUUGUCUCUUUUUAAAAAGUUUAAUUCCUGGUGUGAUGCUUGUAAACUACCUAUGAUGGGUUUCUUUACUGCAAGUAUUUAGGACCCUUAGGUGAUGACUACUUCUCUGGGUUAUCUUCCAGGUAGAACUGGAUUUUGGGUUUUGAAUCUGUUGGAAGAUCCUACCUCUUCAGUUUGUUGGAGAUGAGAACUUGUUGUUUGUUUGGUCAAGUCCCUGGUUCUUUGGCACUGUGCCCCUAUAUUUUCUGUGACCCUAGUCAGACUCAGUCAUGGAAUACCAGGACCAACUGCUGUUUAGAAAAGUUAUAUCAAUUUUGGUUAUAAUGGUAUCAAUAGCAUCAAACUUAGCCUAGAAAACGACAAACUGAGCUAACUCUUAAUUUUCCACUUUUAACCAUAUGAACUAGAUUUGUGGUUAUAUAAAAAAUUCUAAAAUAUACCAGAAAAUUAUAUGCAGUAUACAAUGAUAUGUCAAUUUUGCCCUUGGGGGUUAAUAUUUAAAAUAGGUUAAGGAGAAAAUAGAAACAUGGAAGAAGAGGGAGAGAGAUUAGAAGUAAAGUUGGAGAACAAAGGGGGGUCACACUAACUUUGAGAAACUGAUGCAGAAGAUGAGGGAAAGAAUGAAGGAAGAGAUGAACAGAACAGAACAAAAUCACAACCACAGUGAGGCUAGAAACCACUGUCAUGCUUAUAUAAAAACAAGAUCCAACGAUGAAGGAAAAAGAGAAAAAAGAAAAAUGAAAAACAAAUGUGAGAGGAAACAGAAGAAAGAAAGAAAGAAAGAAAGAAAGAAAGAAAGAAAGAAAGAAGAAAGAGAGUCACUUUCCAGGUUUGUCCAGGUUUCUGUGUGCUUUCAGGGCCAGACAAUCGGUGGAGAGAGUCCUGAGCCAGGCCCAUCUAUCCCAGCAAAGCAGCAGUAGCUUUUUGGUGAGGCAAUGGGUAAUCUCAGUACGGCUACACUUUCUGGUGGGACCAGUCAGCUGCGCUUGGCUCAGCGCCUUCUGAGCACCUCCCAUGGGUCUGAACCCUGCUGGGAGUCACUGGAUGGAGUCAGAUGAAGUUCUGGGUUCUAAUCUCAGCUGCCUGUCCCCAGGAUGGCUCCAGGCCAGUUGCUCUCUCCCUGGGAAGACUGACCCUUGCUCUCACGGCCAGUCGGUGCAGUCCACCUCUGAUACUCCCCCCCACGGCCGAGACUGCUCACCAGCCAUCGCGGCCACCCUUCCAACCACUCCCCUCACACAGUGAGUGCCAUCUCAGGGGCAGGGUACCACAGGCUGCUGCUCCUCUGUUGAACUUUCUGCCUUCACUCUCUCUGAGGCUCCAAUUCGUGCUUCGGGUUCCUCCUGGGCCCAGGGAACCCACUUUCUCCUUCUUGUCUCCCUCACAUUGCUGUAUUUCUGCAUCUGGGUGAUAACUCUGAGAAGCACUUUCUCUGCUGCUUACUACUCCAUCAUCUUGGACUUGGUCGCAGGUUUUUUUAAAAAUCAGAGUAGCCCUUGCACUUGCCAGGCAGGUGCUUUGCCACUGAGCUAUCUCUCUGAUCUACAAAAUUUAUUAUUAUUAUUUUUUCAAUCAGAUUUUAUUUGUACAUUUUUAUAUACAUAAUAAUCACCUUUCUCAGAGAAUUUGUACCUGUACAUGACAUAACUUUUUUUUCUCCAUUUCCCCAUCCUCCUUCAACCCUUCCUGGGGAAAAAUAUUUAAAAGGAAUUGGGGGAAAAAUAGAGAAAUAAAAGAAAAGAAAGAGAUUAGAAGCAAGGCUGGAGGACAAAGGAGGAUCACACAAACUCCAGGAAACUCAUGCAGAAGACUGGAGGGAAAGAGAGAAGGAAGAAAUAUAAACAAGAACAGAAUGCCAGCAAAAAUAACCCUAGAAACUAUGUUCAUAUUCAUAUAAAAAUGAGAAUGAAGAAAAAACCCUAAAAGCACCAGAGAAAGGAAAUAUUAAAAAGAAGAUUAAAAUGCCCACUUCGAGGUGUGUCUCUGCUGUUACUGGUAGACAACACUGGCAGAGUCCAGAUCCCUGACGGUGGGUGGCAGCAGCUUACCACAUGAUAGAGGAUGAUCCCAGCAAGCUGGUGUCUCCACUUCCCUGAAGUUCAUGCUGGCCUCACGCUGUGAGGCUGAAUCACACCCAUCUAGCUUGCUGUAGUCCUGGAGCCCACUGAGGGUUUGAACUCACUUGAAGCCAUUAGGCAGAGCUAGCAGCUGCCACAAGUCCCAAAUUCCGUUGGCCUCUAUGGAAGGUGGCCCCUGGCCAACUGCUCUCUCUUACAGGAUGUGGGGGUUCAAAUGGGAGAGCUCACCAGCCACUGCAGCCCACUAAAUCCAGCGCACUGCUCCACCCAUGUGCUUCUUUGUGGAGGCCUCAGGUUGCCAGCUGUCACCCGGCAUCUGCAGUCUCAAGCCACCCUCUCGUGCAGUAAGUCCUAGUUGAGGAAGAAGGCACUGCUGGCUACCUCCUGCUUCGCUGAAGUGUCUUAGUUCUCUCCAGGCGCUUCGUUUUGCUUCAGAUCCUUUUUGGGUUCUGAGGACCCACUUCCCUCCUUCUCUUCGUCAUGUUGCUAUAUUCGUUUGGACACCAAAUCUUGGAGAGCUUCUUUCUCUGCUGCUCAGCACCCCACCAUCUUCCCACCCCUUUUUGUAGUUUGUUAAGUCAUUAAGUUGCCCAAGCUGAGCUCAAACUUGUGAUCUUCCUGCCCCAGCCUCCCAGAGUGCUAGGGUUAUGGCCAAGUGCCAUCAUGCAUAGCUAUUUUUAAUAUAUGUACUAGUAUGUAUAAUGAAGAGAAAACCACUAUCAGUCUAAAUGCUUUAAUUUCCCUUAAAAUACUUUAAUAUGAGGUUUAGGCUUUGAUGUAAAAAACUUGACUUGGGGAAAAUAAACAGAGGAGGUAAAAGUCACAAAAGGAAAAAUGCAAAGCUAUGACUCAUAACAGCAAAAAUUAGAAUUGGUUAAAUUGAAUUAAAUUUUCACUCACGAAGAACAAUGUUGUUAAUAUUUUUUUUUUGUCUUUUUCAUUUUUAUCGGUACCAGGGAUCGAACUCACGACCACACACUUGCAAGGCAGGUGCUAAUGCCGCUGAGCUAAAUCCCCAACCCCUGUUAACAUUUUUUUUAGAGAAUAUAUUUACCAAGAGAAAGAAAGCUCUGUGAAAGAGAGUCCCAAGUGGGCCACCAAGGACCCCGUCUUCCCCAGAGAAUUCUACAGAGCAAAACCACAAAAGAGAAAAUGAGCACCUUGUCACUUCUCAUUUCCAGGAAGACUUCCCUUCAAAUCUGGUACAUGCUCCUCCCCUUGUCCUUCUGGCUCCAUGGUGGGCAGCCCAUCUGCUCCACCUUCUGUUCCUCAGCACCUUCUGGGGCCUUUCAGACUCAGGAAGGGAACAGGAGGAGGGAGAAGGCCCAACACCCUCAGGCAAUGUCAGCAGCAGCAGCAGCAAGGACUCUGCAAGCUGCGCUGCAGGAUGGGGCAGGAGCCCCACUCCGGAGACCCUCUUGAGAAUCACCAAUGCGAAGUGGCAGCGAUGGAAAAUAUACUUGAGUCCAAUACUCAGAAAGAUGAAUUUCUUUCAUCUUUAUUGACCAAAAAAAAAAAAAAAAAAAAAGUCACAGCGUUUCAGACUUUGUUCAGACACAUGAACAAUAACAAAAGGGUACCCACAAGUGACGUCUAUGGUCCCAAAGGUCUGGAUCAAAGGCUGUGCUAGAGAGUGUGGGGGGUCCCUUUGGCUCUACUCAUCAUCUCUGUUGCUUCCACCCCACGUCUUGCUGACACCAAAGAGCAAUGACUGCAGAAAUGAAGUCACUGCAGAGGAGGCUGGUCCCCCCUCACACCCAACAAAGGGAUGAGGCUCCGGUGAAAUAACAGAAGUGUCCAGACCUGAGGCAGGGACACUCCCCAUCUGGUGGUCCUGGGGACCCAGGGACUGUGGGUAGCACUGGUCAUGCAAUAUUCGUAAACCAAUGGGAGGGAGGACAGACCUCCUUCUCCAGGGAGCAGCCAGCAGCCAGACUCCCCAGAGUAGGAGGCCGAGGAGCAGGGACACUGGCGUGAACCUUAGGACUCAGGUAAGAUAACUCACAGCAGAGAGUCCCCUCUCACUCCCCAAGGCCAUGGUCUAAACAGACCAGGCAGCUGUAUUUGGGGCUGGUCCACAUUUGCCCUUUCCGGUGGACUUGGGUCAGGAAGAGGCAUUCCCUCCAGUGCUCCCCUUGAUUUGCAUAGUCUUUGGGGUUGUGUGGCUCUCAAAACUUGAACAGAAUCAUUUGUGGCUCCGUGUUUGCAGCCUCUGGUUGUUUGGGGGAAGAGUUAGGAGUCAAAAUUCUGACCCUACAUUGUUCCUAGGCCACUGAAAGUAUUUUCAUAAUUGCGUUACAAUAACUAAGAUAAUUUACAAUUUUAAUAUCCAAGUAUAAG